CGUGCCAGCAGCCGCGGUAAUACGGGAGUGGCAAGCGUUAUCCGGAAUUAUUGGGCGUAAAGCGUCCGCAGGCGGUCUUUUAAGUCUGUUGUUAAAGCGUGGAGCUUAACUCCAUUUCAGCAAUGGAAACUGGAAGACUAGAGUGUGGUAGGGGCAGAGGGAAUUCCCGGUGUAGCGGUGAAAUGCGUAGAUAUCGGGAAGAACACCAGUGGCGAAGGCGCUCUGCUGGGCCAUAACUGACGCUCAUGGACGAAAGCCAGGGGAGCGAAAGGGAUUAGAUACCC
rnacentral:rRNA from 1 species